GAUGAAGAACGCAGCGAAAUGCGAUACUUGGUGUGAAUUGCAGAAUCCCGUGAACCAUCGAGUCUUUGAACGCAAGUUGCGCCCGAAGCCAUUAGGCCGAGGGCACGCCUGCCUGGGCGUCACACGUCGUUGCCCCCCCCCAUCUACUCCUUCGGGAUUGCGGGGGGCGGAUGAUGGGCUCCCGUGCGCCUCGCCGCGCGGUUGGCAUAAAUGCCAAGUCCUCGGCGACGCACGCCACGACAAUCGGUGGUUGCGAAACCUCGGUUGCCCGUCGUGUGCGGUCGUCGCGCAUCGAGGGCUCGAAAAAAUUGCCGAGUUCCGGCUCGGCUUUCAACGCGACCCCAGGUCAGGCGGGGUUACCCGCUGAAUUUAAGCAUAUCAAUAAGCGGAGGA
rnacentral:misc_RNA from 1 species